CUUCCCAUGGAAAUUCCUUGUAAAAAUUACCCUUCCCCAUGGAAUUUCCAUUCUAAAUUAGGCCUUCCCCAUGGAAUUUCCAUUCUAAAUUAGGCCUUCCCCAUGGAAUUUCCAUUUAAAAUUUGGCCCUGUCCAUGGAAUUUCCAUGUGUAAAUUACCCCUCCCUAUGGAAUUUCCAUCAUGGGACAUUUACUCCCGGAAAUUUCCCUCUAACAUAUUUCCUCCCAUGGAAUUUCCAUCCAUCAAAUUUACCCCUCCCUUUGGAAAUUCCAUGUGAGAAUUACUCCUCCCCUUGGAAAUCCAGAGCCUGAAUGCCCCC